rnacentral:rRNA from 1 species
AAGCGGAGGAAAAGAAACCAACAGGGAUUGCCUCAGUAACGGCGAGUGAAGCGGCAAAAGCUCAAAUUUGAAAUCUAGCACCUUCGGUGUUUGAGUUGUAAUUUGAAGAUGGUAACCUUGGGUUUGGCUCUUGUCUAUGUUCCUUGGAACAGGACGUCAUAGAGGGUGAGAAUCCCGUCUGAUGAGAUGCCCAUUCCUAUGUAAGGUGCUAUCGAAGAGUCGAGUUGUUUGGGAAUGCAGCUCUAAGUGGGUGGUAAAUUCCAUCUAAAGCUAAAUAUUGGCGAGAGACCGAUAGCGAACAAGUACAGUGAUGGAAAGAUGAAAAGAACUUUGAAAAGAGAGUGAAAAAGUACGUGAAAUUGUUGAAAGGGAAGGGCAUUAGAUCAGACUUGGUGUUUUACGAUUAUCUUCUCUUCUUGAGUUGUGCACUCGUAUUUCACUGGGCCAGCAUCGAUUCGGAUGGCAAGAUAAUGGCAGUUGAAUGUGGCUUCACUUCGGUGGAGUGUUAUAGCUUCUGCUGAUAUUGCCUGUCUGGAUCGAGGGCUGCGUCUUUUGACUAGGAUGCUGGCGUAAUGAUCUAAUGCCGCCCGUCUUGAAA